UGAACGCUGGCGGUAGGCCUAACACAUGCAAGUCGAACGGCAGCACAGUAAGAGCUUGCUCUUACGGGUGGCGAGUGGCGGACGGGUGAGGAAUACAUCGGAAUCUACUUUUUCGUGGGGGAUAACGUAGGGAAACUUACGCUAAUACCGCAUACGACCUACGGGUGAAAGCAGGGGAUCUUCGGACCUUGCGCGAUUGAAUGAGCCGAUGUCGGAUUAGCUAGUUGGCGGGGUAAAGGCCCACCAAGGCGACGAUCCGUAGCUGGUCUGAGAGGAUGAUCAGCCACACUGGAACUGAGACACGGUCCAGACUCCUACGGGAGGCAGCAGUGGGGAAUAUUGGACAAUGGGCGCAAGCCUGAUCCAGCCAUACCGCGUGGGUGAAGAAGGCCUUCGGGUUGUAAAGCCCUUUUGUUGGGAAAGAGAAGCAGCAGGUUAAUACCCCGCUGUUCUGACGGUACCCAAAGAAUAAGCACCGGCUAACUUCGUG
rnacentral:rRNA from 1 species